rnacentral:lncRNA from 1 species
AGUCAUCCUUCAAUAGGUAAAGUUCAUAUACACCAGGGUUAAGUUCCAGGAGUGCCACUUAGAACCUGCCCCUGUCAGACUCCUCUUCCUCUCCCAGGCACAAUAAGAAAGAAGACAUUCUGGGAAAUGAAUUGUGCACUAAUUGUAAGUUGAGCUCUGGAAGAAACAGAAAAGAGUCAUCCACCUGAGCUCUCUGGAGGUCCCUGCUUUUUGCUCCAAGGAAGCCACUACUGAGAAAGAAAACUAAGCAACUCUAACAGCCCCAUUACCUUAAUGAAUAAAAGCCAUUCAGUGAAAAGAACUGGUAUCCACUUCAUCAAUUAAAAAGCUAACAACCAAUUCUUGGAAAUUUUCUGGAGCCCUAUGAAAAUUCAUAUCACUUAGUAACCUAUGUGAGCUGAAGGUUGGUGUCCAAUGACUGCUAAGAAGAUAUAAGGAAUGUUGCAGAAAUAUAAAUAGACCAGCACUGAAAUUUAAUUAGGCACUGCAUAUGUUAAUAAUAAAUUCAAUUAAUUUAGCCUUCUACCUAUACUAGAAAGAAAAAAAAAACCUGGGCAAAAUAAUAAUUCAUUUUAAAUGCUUCAGUUGGUAACCUCCUUUCCUGAAGAGUGAUUUAUGCAGUAAUUUACUGACUGUGUCUUCAUAAGGUUGUUCCAAACCAGCCCUUCUGAAAUAAUAAUAACUUCUGAAUGUGUGUUGUAAGAGAUAUAACAAAUGACUUCCUAUUAAUUUUCAUUUAAUGAGUUGCCUAUUCACAUGGUAAUUUUUAAAAAUUCUCUUCUUAAGAUAAACAGGUUAUAAAUACUGUGGAUUACACUUCCAUUUCACAAAAAUCACAACAAGAAAAUCUCUCUCAUAUUCUCUACAUGAUUUGCAGGUCAAUCAGUUUAAAAUGUUCUAUACUAAAUAGGCAUCCAUUUCUUUCCCAGUUAGCACAGCAGAUCAUUUUAAAUUUCUAUAGCCAAAUGAUUCCAAAUUAGUUAAAAAUGAAAACUGAAUAUUUAGCAGCAGGAAAGGUCUUAGCAGGAAUAAUGGGAGGGAGUGGGGAGCAGGAAACAAAAUCAUGAGAAAGGUGGCAACCUGGUUAAAUACGGAGCCCAUGACCUUGGUUCUUUUUAUAAAGAACAAAAAGCAUAAAGAUCAUUCUUUACAGCUUUCCUAUUUCCCCAAGUUUACUUUUUUAAAAAGACUCCAUAAUUUUUUACAUAAAUAUUAAUACUUAAGCAUCUUAAUUGCCAAUAUUUCCAAAAACCUUAAUUAUGUAACAAUGAAUUAACUCUAUAUUAUAAUAAAAAGCAAGUAUAAAAUAAUAAAAACUAGGAAGAAGAAAUUGCUCAGAGUCAUAGGUUUUUCAUAUGGUUCACACCGAUUUAAAAAGUCCUGCAGUAAACACGGCAAAAUUCUCAAAUAUAAUUCCUCGCAACACUGGGAAGAGUCUGCCUAAAGCAUUAAAUAACUCAAAUGCAAUUGCUACUUACAUGAGAACCGAAAGGGCCUUGCUCCCAACCCACACUGCCUCACACCCUCUCCGUGGAAAAGCCCGUACUGCAUUUCACCCAUAAACUUGUCCAGCUCCU